AUUGAACGCUGGCGGCAUGCUUUACACAUGCAAGUCGAACGGCAGCACGGGGGCAACCCUGGUGGCGAGUGGCGAACGGGUGAGUAAUAUAUCGGAACGUACCCGGAAAUGGGGGAUAACGUAGCGAAAGUUACGCUAAUACCGCAUAUGCCCUAAGGGGGAAAGCGGGGGAUUCGCAAGAACCUCGCGUUUUCGGAGCGGCCGAUAUCGGAUUAGCUAGUAGGUGAGGUAAAGGCUCACCUAGGCGACGAUCCGUAGCUGGUCUGAGAGGACGACCAGCCACACUGGAACUGAGACACGGUCCAGACUCCUACGGGAGGCAGCAGUGGGGAAUUUUGGACAAUGGGCGCAAGCCUGAUCCAGCCAUGCCGCGUGAGUGAAGAAGGCCUCGGUUGUAAAGCUCUUUCUAGCCGGAAAGAAAACGACACGGGUUAAUAACCUAGUGUGGAUGACGGUACCGGAAGAAGAAGCACCGGCUAACUACGUAGCCAGCAGCCGCGU
rnacentral:rRNA from 1 species